UAAUCCAACAAUUUUUCUCUCAUUCUUUAAAAAUAUUUAAUAAUGUCCAGGAUUCUUACAUUUCCUUUGUUUUUAGUCUGCGGAUGAAAUAUUUUUUUAUGGAGUAAAUUCAAAGGCGGAAUGUGUUUUGGUUCGUAUAUCAAGAGGCAGCGAUCAAGAAGCCGAAGCUUGGAUCUAUUUGAAACUGGCUGAUGGCACUACUUAUCAUUUGGCUGAACACGUCAACUACCAACAACCCUUUGAAGGAAAAUGCCUGGUAUUUUCUUGCGGAAACUUACAAAUGCAUUAUUUAUCACCUAUGCGAAGAUGGAGAAUACAAUACAGUGGACCUCUAUUGCGAAAAUCUGAAAAUAAAGAGUUACCUGAAGGAAAGGUUUUUAUUAAAUUCGUUUUCUUGUAAGUUAAGUUUCUGUCAUAAUUUCUUCUUAUUUUUAAUAG